AUUGAACGCUGGCGGCAGGCUUAACACAUGCAAGUCGAGCGCGCGGCGGACGGGUGAGUAAUGUCUGGGAAACUGCCUGAUGGAGGGGGAUAACUACUGGAAACGGUAGCUAAUACCGCAUACCAUCAGAUGUGCCCAGAUGGGAUUAGCUAGUAGGGGGGGUAAUGGCUCACCUAGGCGACGAUCCCUAGCUGGUCUGAGAGGAUGACAAGGCACACUGGAACGGAGACGAGGGCCAGACUCCAACGGGAGGCAGCAGUGGGGAAUAUUGCACAAUGGGAGCAAGCCUGAUGCAGCCAUGCCGAGUGGGUGAAGAAGGCAUUCGGGUUGUAGAGCAAUUUCAGCGAGGAAGAGUUACUAGAAGAAGAAGCACCGGCUAACUCCGUGCCAGCAGCCGCGGUAAUUC
rnacentral:rRNA from 1 species